CCUACGGGAGGCUGCAGUGGGGGAUAUUGCACAAUGGAGGAAACUCUGAUGCAGCGACGCCGCGUGAGGGAAGACGGUCUUCGGAUUGUUAACCUCUGUCUUUGGGGAAGAAAAUGACGGUACUCAAAGAGGAAGAUCCGGCUAACUACGUGCCAGCAGCCGCGGUAAUACGUCGGGAGCGAGCGUUGUCCGGAAUUACUGGGUGUAAAGGGAGCGUAGGCGGGCGAGAAAGUUGAAGGUUAAAUCUAUGGGCGUAACUGGUAGCUGCGUUCAAAACUGCUUGUCUUGAGUGAAGGAGAGGCAGGCGGAAUGCGUGGUGUAGCGGUGAAAUGCGUAGAUAUUAGGAAGAACCCCAGUGGCGAAGGCGGCCUGCUGGGUCUUAACUGACGCUGAGGCUCGAAAGCGUGGGGAGCGAACAGGAUUAGAUACCCGAGUAGUC
rnacentral:rRNA from 1 species